rnacentral:rRNA from 1 species
GGCGGACGGGUGAGUAACACAUGGGUAACCUGCCUGCUGGACUGGGAUAACUCCGGGAAACCGGGGCUAAUACCGGAUGGUUGUUUGAACCGAAUGGUUCGGGGUAAUAGGGGGCUUCUGCUACCACUUACGGAUGGACCCGCGGCGCAUUAGCUAGUUGGUGAGGUAACGGCUCACCAAGGUCACUAUGCGUACCCGAACUGAGAGGGUGAUCGGCCACACUGGGACUGAAACCCGACCCAUACUCCUACGGGAGGCAGCAAAAAGGAAUCUUCCGCAAUGGACCAGAGUCUGACGGAGCAACGGCGCGAGAGUGAUGAAGGGUUUCUGAUCGUAAAGCUCUGUUGAUAAGGAAGAACAAGUUCCGUUCGAAUAGGGCGGAACCUUGACGGUACCUAACCAGAAAGCCACUCCUAACUACGUGCCAGCAGCCGCGGUAAUACGUAGGUGGCAAUCGUUGUCCCUGAAUUAUUGGGCGCAAAGGGCUCGCAUGCGGUUUCUUAAGUCUGAUGUGAAAGCUCCCGGCUCAACCUGCGAGGGACAUUGGAAACUGUGGAACUUGAGUGCAGAAGAGGAGAGUGGAAUUCCACGUGUAGCGGUGAAAGCGUAGAGAUGUGGAGGAACACCAGUGCCGAACCGCUACUCUCUGACUCUGUAACUGACGCUGAGGAGCGAGAGAGUGAGGAGCGAACAGGAGUCUGAUACCCCUGCUACUCCACGCCGUACACGCAUGAGAUGCUAAGGUGCCUAUGGAGGGAGUUGCCCGUUCCCGUUAGCUGCAUGCAGCU